rnacentral:rRNA from 1 species
CCUACGGGUGGCAGCAGUCGGGAAUUUUGGGCAAUGGGGGCAACCCUGACCCAGCAACGCCGCGUGAGCGAUGAAGGCCUUCGGGUCGUAAAGCUCUGUCGGGAGGGAAGAAGGCUCUCGGGGUGAAUAAUCCCGGGGGAUUGACGGUACCUCCAAAGGAAGCGCCGGCUAACUCCGUGCCAGCAGCCGCGGGAAUACGGAGGGCGCAAGCGUCGUUCGGAAUGACUGGGCGUAAAGGGCGUGCAGGCGGGAAAGCCCGGGGCCUAACCCCGGAACUGCACUCGAACCUGCCUCGCUAGAGUCUCGGAGAGGGUGGUGGAAUUCCCGGUGUAGUGGUGAAAUCCGUAGAUAUCGGGAGGAACACCAGCGGCGAAGGCGGCCACCUGGACGAUGACUGACGCUGAGACGCGAAAGCGUGGGGAGCAAACAGGAUUAGAUACCCCAGUAGUC